GGCUGGUUGCCCGAGCGGCCAAAGGGAGCAGACUGUAAAUCUGUCGCGCAAGCUACGCAGGUUCGAACCCUGCACCAGCCACCG
rnacentral:tRNA from 4 species